rnacentral:misc_RNA from 1 species
GAUGAAGAACGUAGCGAAAUGCGAUAAGUAAUGUGAAUUGCAGAAUUCAGUGAAUCAUCGAAUCUUUGAACGCACAUUGCGCCCGCCAGUAUUCUGGCGGGCAUGCCUGUUCGAGCGUCAUUUCAACCAUCAAGCCCCCGGCUUGUGUUGGGGUCCUGCGGCUGCCGCAGGCCCUGAAAACCAGUGGCGGGCUCGCUAGUCACUCCGAGCGUAGUAGUUACAUCUCGCUCAGGGCGUGCUGCGGGUUCCGGCCGUUAAAAGCCUUAUUUACCCAAGGUUGACCUCGGAUCAGGUAGGAAGACCCGCUGAACUUAAGCAUAUCAAUAAGCGGAGGA